rnacentral:rRNA from 1 species
UGGGUAGUCCGCACGAGCGCACCUUACUUUUAGUUGCUACCAUUCAGUUGGGCACUCUAAAAGAACUGCCAGUGAUAAGCUGGAGGAAGGUGGGGAUGACGUCAAGUCCUCAUGGCCCUUACGUGUUGGGCUACACACGUGCUACAAUGGUACUUACAACGGGAAGCAAAGAGGCGACUCUAAGCCAAUCCUAAAAAGGUACCUCAGUUCGGAUUGCACUCUGCAACUCGAGUGCAUGAAGCUGGAAUUGCUAGUAAUCGCGGAUCAGCGCGCCGCGGUGAAUACGUUCCCGGGUCUUGUACACACCGCCCGUCACACCAUGGAAGUUGGUUACACCUUAAGGCAAAGUGUAAAACCUUUGACUACGGUACGAUCAGCGACUGGGGUGAAGUCGUAACAAGGUAGCCGUAGGGGAACCUGCGGCUGGAUCACCUCCUUUCU